CAGUAGCCGCGGUAAGACAGAGGAUGCAAGCGUUAUCCGGAAUUAUUGGGCGUAAAGAGCUCGUAGGCGGUCCGUCGCGUCGAAUGUGAAAACCCGGGGCUCAACUCCGGGCUUGCAGUCGAUACGGGCGGACUAGAGUUCGGUAGGGGAGACUGGAAUUCCUGGUGUAGCGGUGAAAUGCGCAGAUAUCAGGAGGAACACCGGUGGCGAAGGCGGGUCUCUGGGCCGAUACUGACACUGAGAGACGAAAGCUAGGGGAGCAAAUGGGAUUAGAUACCCCAGUAGUCCCUGUUUCUUAUAA
rnacentral:rRNA from 1 species